UUUUGUGAUGAUUCUUAGCUCUAGAUCUGCCAGCUGCCUAUCAACAGCACGUGGAGACAACUUCUAAUGUCUGAUC
rnacentral:snoRNA from 1 species